GUGGAGGGCUACCAAAAGUGACAAGUUGAGGUGAAAAUGGCCAAAGGAUGUUUAACCAGAUAUUCACAUUGCUGUAUGUAUAUUUUUGACCAAGUAGAUGUGGUCAUAUUUCCAGAAAGCCUAUAAUAAAUCUAUGAAUGAACCAAAUGCAUAUUUUUUAUGAGAAAGAUGCAUGUGUUUCAAUGUUUCCAUCACAGAAAAUAUAGAGUUAUAGGAGUCACUGGAAACUUAGCUGCCAUGAUACAUAUGGUCUUCACAAGUGUAUGAAGCUUUUGUUCCAAACUGCAUAUUUUGGGUGGGUGUUAAAAUUUCCCAGCAGACCUUGAACAUCUCCUGUCACUAUUGGUGUGACCGGAAGCAGGUGUGACUGUUAGAAUCAGCCAAUCAGGGCCAAGAAUGUUUGGACACAACCAGGAGGGAAAACACAGAUGCAGGUGAGAAACAGAAAGCUCUUAAACAUGGUUUUUAACUUCAUUAAACCGUGCUCAGUUGUAUUUAAUAUAAGUAUGAGCCAGAGCUUUUAUUGAAGUGUUGCUGCUGCUGCCGCUACUGAAAGCUGCUUUUUUACACAGAGAACAAGCCUGAGGAUAGAUUUUCUUCAUAGCUCGGCUAACCAAUGCACAGAGGUUUAGAAGGGACUGUUAGUAACAGCUUCCUGCAUUUCCAAGGAGCAAGACCCUCUCACUCUGCAUAAUGAACUCCAUGAGAUCUUCCAGGAAUGAUGAUGGCAUCUUCCAUGAGAACAUAACCUUCUCUGGAGCCAAACUUACUAUGAUGAUGGACCCAGGACUAAAUUCGAGAGCCUUACCUCAUAGUCUAUUUUAAACUUUUGGACGACACCAAGUUCCAGAAACAUCCUGAGCGAUGCGGUGAUCAUUGCGUCAUUGUC